UACGAACCGUACAAACGUUAUUCGGAAUCACUGGGCUUAAAGGGUGCGUAGGCGGCCAUGUAAGUGGGGUGUGAAAUCCCUCGGCUCAACCGAGGAACUGCGCUCCAUACUGCAUGGCUUGAGGGAGACAGGGGUAAGCGGAACUGAUGGUGGAGCGGUGAAAUGCGUUGAUAUCAUCAGGAACACCGGUGACGAAAGCGGCUUACUGGGUCUCUUCUGACGCUGAGGUACGAAAGCUAGGGGAGCGAACAGG
rnacentral:rRNA from 1 species